rnacentral:rRNA from 1 species
AUUGAACGCUGGCGGCAGGCCUAACACAUGCAAGUAGAACGAGUGGCGGACGGGUGAGUAAUGUCUGGGAAACUGCCUGAUGGAGGGGGAUAACUACUGGAAACGGUAGCUAAUACCGCAUACCAUCGGAUGUGCCCAGAUGGGAUUAGCGAGGCGGGGGGGUAAAGGCUCACCUAGGCGCCGAUCCCUAGCUGGUCUGAGAGGAGGACCAGCCAAACUGGAACUGAGACACGGUCCAGACGCCUACGGGAGGCAGCAGUGGGGAAUAGUGCACAAUGGGCGCAAGCCUGAUGCAGCCAUGCCGCGUGUGUGAAGAAGGCCUUCGGGUUGUAAAGUACUUUCAGCGGGGAGGCGUGACCCGCAGAAGAAGCACCGGCUAACUCCGUGCCAGCAGCCGCGGUAAUAC